rnacentral:lncRNA from 1 species
CAGGAAAUGACAUGGCAGGGAGACUCAUACACAAACAAGGGAAGAAGGAAGUGGGCCCUCUCUUCCUCCAGAUUCGCCAUGUAAUCCACCGGUAAGGGAGGAUGCCAAUGGAAGGUGUCCAGUAAGAUAAGUCUUAUAACACAAAUAGAUUUAUGGUAAUUAAGACUGAGCUAACAGAUGAGAAUCCUAGUCAUUGGCCAAGCAGCAUUUGUACCUAAUCAUCUUCCUCUCUGUUAAGACGAGCCUGAGGAUGCUGACUGAGUUUGUAUCGUGUAGAAUGCAGCUUGUGGACUCUCUACUGCCAGAAGGUUUUGACUAUGAUUCAAAUCACUUGAGGACACCAGCUCUGCCUAUACUAUGGAUUGAAAGACCAGCUGGUAAGCAUCACAUCAAAUCCCCUUGAACAACUGUAAAAGUCUUAA